UCAGACGUGUACUCUGCAGAAUUGAAGCUGCUUCUUUGAAUUUGCAAUUCAACAUGUAAUUUCACCACAGGGCUUGGUAAAAAGAGGAAUAAAACCUCUGUCUUUAGAUUUACAGUCUAAUGCUUCACUCAGCCAUUUUACCUAUGUUCAUCAACCGCUGAUUAUUUUCAACUAAUCAUAAAGACAUUGGCACCCUGUAUUUAUUAUUUGGUGCCUGGGCAGGCAUAGUAGGAACAGCCCUAAGCCUACUGAUUUGUGCUGAACUGGGUCAACCUGGAACCCUGCUCAGAGAUGACCAAAUUUAUAACGUAAUUGUAACUGCACAUGCAUUUGUAAUAAUUUUCUUCAUAGUAAUGCCAAUUAUAAUUGGAGGAUUUGGCAAUUGACUAGUUCCCCUAAUAAUUGGUGCCCCUGAUAUAGCAUUCCCUCGGAUAAAUAAUAUAAGUUUCUGGCUCCUCCCUCUUUUUUUUUACUACUUCUAGCAUCAUUUAUAGUUGAAGCUGGAGCAGGAACAGGCUGAACUGUAUAUCCCCCUCUAGCUGGUAAACUAGCCCACGCAGGGGCUUCAGUGGAUCUAACUAUUUUUUCUCUACACCUGGCAGGUGUCUCCUCAAUUCUAGGGGCCAUUAAUUUCAUUACAACAA